AUUGAACGCUGGCGGCAGGCUUAACACAUGCAAGUCGAGCGGGGUGAUGGUGCUUGCACUAUCACUUAGCGGCGGACGGGUGAGUAAUUCAUAGGAAUCUGCCUAUUAGUGGGGGACAACACCUCGAAAGGGAUGCUAAUACCGCAUACGUCCUACGGGAGAAAGCAGGGGAUCACUUGUGACCUUGCGCUAAUAGAUGAGCCUAGGUCGGAUUAGCUAGUUGGUGGGGUAAAGGCCUACCAAGGAGACGGUCUGUAGCGGGUCUGAGAGGAUGAUCCGCCACACUGGGACUGGGACACGGCCCAGACUCCUACGGGAGGCAGCAGUGGGGAAUAUUGGACAAUGGGGGGAACCCUGAAACAGCCAUGCCGCGUGUGUGAAGAAGGCCUUAUGGUUGUAAAGCACUUUAAGCGAGGAGGAGGCUCUUUUGGUUAAUACCCAAGAUGAGUGGACGUUACUCGCAGAAUAAGCACCGGCUAACUCUGUGCCAGCCGCCGCAGUAA
rnacentral:rRNA from 1 species